CAAUAGCGUAUAUUUAAGUUGUUGCAGUUAAAAAGCUCGUAGUUGGAUUUCGGGUGGGACGCAGCGGUCUCGCAUUGCGUUUGUACUGCUGCAGCCCUCCUUCUUGCCGGGGGCGGCCUCUCGGACUUCACCGUCUGGGGGUCAGAAUCGGCGAUGUUACUUUGAGUAAAUUAGAGUGUUCAAAGCAAGCUUACGCUCUGAAUAUAAUAGCAUGGGAUAACACGACAGGACUCUGGCCUAUCGUGUUGGUCUACAGGACCAGAGUAAUGAUUAAGAGGGACAGUCGGGGGCAUUCGUAUUCCGUUGUCAGAGGUGAAAUUCUUGGAUUUACGGAAGACGAACAUCUGCGAAAGCAUUUGCCAAGGAUGUUUUCAUUGA
rnacentral:rRNA from 1 species